CUGAACGCUGGCGGUAGGCUUCACACAUGCGAGUCGGAUCAUCCUUCGUGGAUAGCGGCAGACCGACGAUUUACGCGUGCGAAUGCAGGCUCAGCUCCGGGCGAUCUCCGGGACACCGAAAUGGCAACUGCGGUGUGCCCUUCCGGGGGACCGAUAGCUCGCCAGUACCAUGAGCGCGCAUUCCGAUGCGUUACUCAGUGGUGUGCUGGCCUACCGAGCGGUCGAUCAAUAGCUGUUCUGAGAGGAUGAUGAGCCACAUCGUGACUGACCCAGGUGCAANUCCAA
rnacentral:rRNA from 1 species